rnacentral:rRNA from 1 species
AGCAGUCGCCGCGGUAAAACGGAGGGUGCAAGCGUUAAUCGGAAUUACUGGGCGUAAAGCGCACGCAGGCGGUCUGACAAGUCAGAUGUGAAAUCCCCGGGCUUAACCUGGGAACUGCAUUUGAAACUGUCAGGCUGGAGUCUUGUAGAGGGGGGUGGAAUUCCAGGUGUAGCGGUGAAAUGCGUAGAGAUCUGGAGGAAUACCGGUGGCGAAGGCGGCCCCCUGGACAAAGACUGACGCUCAGGUGCGAAAGCGUGGGGAGCAAACAGGAUUAGAUACCCCAGUAGUCCCUGUCUCUUAUAC